rnacentral:lncRNA from 1 species
ACUAUUUGUUGGCGACAAUGAGUCGCCGCUAAAAGUUAGAUAAUUAGUGGCGACAAUGUGUCGCUGCUAAAAGUAGAUAAUUAGUGGCGACGUACCGUCGCCGCUAAAAGUUACAUAAUUAACGGCGACAUAUCAGCGCCGCGAAAAAACAACCCGGACCGGAAUAUUUGAUGGCGAUAGUUUGUCGCCGCUAAAGUUAUAUAAUUAGCGGCGACAUAUCAGCGCCGCGAAAAAACAACCCGGACCAGAAUAUUUGGUGGCGACAGUUUGUCGUCGCUAAAGUUAUAUAAUUAGCGGCGAUGAACUGUCGCCGCGAAAACUUUACAAUUUAUGGUGGCGACUGUUGUCGCCACCAUUUUCUGAUAUAAAAUUAAUUUUUUUUAAUUAAUUUUUUUUAAAAAAUAAUUAGUAGUAAUAAAUAUUAUUAAUUUAAUAUAAAUUGCUAAAAAAUAACAUAAUUUUUCAUUCUUAAUUUUUAACCUUUAAUUUCAAUUUAAUUCUCUCAAAACCAAAUAAAAUUUAGGACAAAAAGAGCCAAUUCUCAUAAAUAUGAUAGAAAGCUUUCUAAACAAAUCACAGAUCAACAAGCAGAAAUCCUACAUUUUGCAUCGAAGUAUCUCUCACAACAGAUAAAAGUUUUGGACAACAUAUAUAAGUAAGACUGAAUCAUCAUAUAUAAGUAAUACAAUCACCCAACACAACCAAAAACAAAACACAAUAAUAGUAUUUUGGUCAUUUCCACUUGCUAUCAAAUGUAAAGUUUCAAAAUAUGUCUAAAUUCUUAAACUUGAUUCAAUACAUCGCCAAUGACCUGCCAAAAUAUUUCUCGUCACCACCUCUUAUAAAUCUGCAAAUAAAAAUAAAAAUAAAAAUUAGCUUUUCAACAUUUGUUGAUCCCUGAACUAAUAAUGCAAACAAUAUAAAAAUAAAGAGGCCAAGUACGUAGAUAAUAAUAUUGGCUAUGAACUAUAUAACAGACAGAAACCGACAUUAAUUCAAUUCAUGUAACCAAAUAUUGAGCAUUAAGAGUAACAAAGAAACUGAGUAACUUUGAGAAAUCAGAAUAAUAAUUACAAAUAUGACUAGUAUUACAUAAAAAGAAAUUACAAAACAGGAUACGAAUGCGAAUGAAGUAACAAGUAACGUUUAUUUCAGCUCAUGUUUCAAUCACAAACAAAACAAUCAGAUUUGAAGGGCUUCAAAUCUUAUUUUCUUAAUCGUACGGUAUUAGUUAUGAUCCCUUUUUUGGCCAAAGUAAUCAAAAUUCCGAAUGAAUAAAAUGGUACUGCUCAUCAAAGUUAUUUCAAGCUUAGAGUAGGUCUCUGCCAAAAAAAAAGGAGGGAACUUGUGGCGCGGAGGGGACGAAGAGCUAGGAAAAGGCUAAGAGGGAGAGGAAAGUGAUCGAGACCAUGGUUUGAGAUGGGUUUGAAGUAAGGUUAAAAUUUUUUACUAUUUUUAAAUAUAAAAAGACAAUAAAGCCCUACAAUUUAAUACAAUGUAUAUAGAGUAAGUGAGGGUAAAUUGGUCUUUUUGCA